UACAUGGGAAGAGGGGUGGCGGAAAGCAGCAAAAUAACUUUUUGCUAUUGUGACUGUCGGGGCAACUCGAUCGGGCAAAUGGUAAAGUCUAAAACAAAGCAGCAAGGGGCAAAAAAGAGGAUAAAAGUGAAGUUACUUAUCAUGCUACUAAGCUCAAUGGAAUAGAGGCCCACUGGGUUGGCCUUGGAUUCUGAAUCCUCGCUCUCGACGUCACUGCCAAGGGAACAUCCUCCCCAAAGCAAGACUCUGUAACCAAGGAUGUGGGAUGAUCGUUCAUUCUGCUCUACUGCCACUGACUAGAAUCUGAAACGCCCACAUACCUGUGAAUUGAAAUUAUAGAUAUACCGCACUUGGAUUGUCGAUGCUUGGCAAAGCAUUUCUUGCAUUAAUGCAGAAAUGUGGAUGUAACGGGCUCAUCAUGGUAAGACGGGCACGGUUGAAUUAUGUCUGAGAUCACCAUUACUGAUUGUGUACAGUCAUCAUUUUGGAAUCCAGGGGCCAUUUAUGACGGAAUACUCUUUUAAUGGAAAUCCAUCCUUAAACCAGAGAAGGUCAGUCAUUGCAGAGUCUGGUUAUGCAGUUUGCAGAUGAUUCCCACUGAGAUAUUGGCCACCCAGAACCAAAUCUUAAGUUCAAUGGCUUUGGUCAUUCAGUUGAAACCAAACCCAUUUAACCAUUCCCUAGUUAUCUCAUUAUUAUUAAUAGUGCACUGCAUUCAGAAUUUAUGCUGACUGUUUGAGGUUCCCAGUGAUGUUUCUCUUAAAGUUUGCUGCAAUUAUUUUUAUUGCUUUUCUCCAAGAAAUGUGUUCAUUUCAAUCACUAAAUCAUAGAGCUUUAUGGCACAGAGGGAGGCCAUUUGGCCCAUUAUGUCUAUCCCAGUCAAUGAUUGAGCUGUUUAACUUAUUCCCACUUCCAGGUUCCCAGCAUUUAGCAUUGUAGAUCACAGCUCUAAAAUUUCCAGUUGGCUUUUAUAUCUGAGGAGACGUUCUACCUCCACCACCCUUCCUUGAACUAUGUUCAAAAUCUCCUUCACUCUUUGGGUAAAAAUACAUUUCCUCAAUCUUUUCCUUGUUCAACUUUUAUUGAGAGUUUCUCCAGCCUUGGUAUAUUCGUCCAGUGUACUCUGCACCCUCUCAAACUCUAUCCCUCCUAAACUAUGGUGACAGAACUGCACACAGUACUGUAGCUCUUUUCUAACUGGUGUUCCAUACUCAACCAGUGUGAUCUCUCUACUCUAACAUUCCUUGCUUUGUAGACAGCUGCCUUAGCCAUCUUCUUCACCUACCCCACUACCUUCAGUUAUUUUGUUCCUCUGCACUUGAUAGAAUCAUAACAUUUAUCAUUCUUCCCUCGUCCGAUUUACCACCAACCCCCUCAAAACAAAAGUAUUAGCUCACAUGUCUCUUGAUUGAGCAUUUUAUCUGCCCACCUAACCAACCCUUUGCUAUUUUCUUGCAGCAAAAAAACUUUCAUCCUCGCUACCAACCACAAUGCUAAUUGUGGAAUCAUUGGCAAAAUUCUUGAUCAUAAUCGUAAACAGCCAAGUCUAUGUUAUUAAUAGAUAACAGGAGGAGCAAAAGCCUCUUUCUAAGCUCUCUGAUGCUCCACAACAACAAGGCCACCAGUUAUUUUCAUGCCUAUAUCCAGUACCUUCUCUCACUGAGCCAACUUUUAGUUCAAAAAGCCACCAUCCCUUGGAUUCUCUUGGCUUUUUAAUAUCUUAUUCAGUCUUCCACUUCUUGCUACAUUCCAUGUACACUACAUCAAAUGUCCUAUCCUCAUUAACCUUCCUUGUUACUUUCUCGUCAAUGUGCUGUGACAUUGGGAUGCCCUAUAGUUCUGAAUUGUAAUUACCAUUUUUUUAAAGGUUUGCUUUUCACACAUAACAUCAUCUUUCUAUUCAUGAAAGACUAAAGAUGUUGGUCAUUGUUGGAAAAAUCUCCAGUUUAAACUAUUUAGUUUUGAAAAUUUGUGGAUCAAUGUUAAUGAACACAUCGUGAAAAUAAAAUAUCUUUGUUUAAAUAAUGAACGAGAAUUACGAAUUCAAAUAUUGUUCUUGAAGA